rnacentral:piRNA from 1 species
UNGCAGGGAAUUUAACUGAACUGCAUGGCAC